AUCGAUGUGACGAAAAUUAUCGUCGAUAAUUAAGAAACAGGGAAACGAAUCGAUCGAAGGUGUUUCGAGGAGGCGGCGAUUUGCCUCGUUUCCCCGGCAGCUGCAUCCCCGUUCUUUGCGAAAGGGGUGGAAGAUUCACGAGCUACGAGGGACGGGCACGGGUUCCAGAGGCGGCUCGUUUCUCGAGCUAUCGCGACCGGACCGAUUCUGACGGGGAUGAUAAGUGUGUUUGAGCGCAGCUGGAAUUUGUAUUUGUCGCUUGAACACCAUCCGGAAAUCGUUCUCGUCGUUCUUUCGAGGGAGGGAGGGAGGGAGACGCCUCGAAAUCGAGGCGAGCGUGCAAUGGAAAUAUUUCCUUGGAUACUCGCCUCGACCGGUGUCCAACAUCCUCUAAUUGAUCGUGUCUCCUCGUCGACGAUUUAAUCCAACGUAUUUUUCUGGAACGAAUUCUUUCUAUCCGGUGGUUAGAUUUGAAAGUAAGGAGACUUGCUGUUCGAAAUGUGACUUGGCUGUGGAUUACGUGUGAAUUUAUGCGAAAUCUAAAUGUAAACGAAAAUGGAUUUCAAGAAAUGAGGCAAGUUUCUUUUAUUUUUGUUUGCUGGUAAAAAUUUUUAUAAUCGAAUAAUUCAUUGUUUUAAUCAACGAAUAAAAUUUUCAAUAUUUCUAGCUUAAUCAUAUAUAAUAAUAAAUUCAUUGUUUAAUUUUUCUAAAGUUGUAUUUUAUGAAACUGUUAAUAACGUUAUACGAUAUAUUUUUAUUACUAUUAAUUCGAUAAUUCUUUAUCCGUAUUAUAUGAAUUUCAGUUACAAAGAAAUCAGUCUCGUUACUUUUAGAUCGGACACGCGAUUACGAUUCGAAAGGAAAACUUGAAAUUCUUCUGGAAAUUUCUGGAGAUAUUACCAUACGGGGGAAAAGUUUGAGAAAAGUUUCUACAAGUAGUAAAACGAUAGAAGAUUUGCCAUGAUUGUAUAUAUACGUGAACGUGAUCGCUUUGCGAAUCUACUAAUCCGAACUUCUAUAGUUUAACGCAGAAA